rnacentral:lncRNA from 1 species
CUGAAAGUGAGAAAACGGUGCAUUACCAAGGUAGAAAAUCACUUAGCUCCUUAGAGCAAAGAAAGCAUGCAACUCAAAACCAAAAGGAGUUUUGCUGAUGGAGGGGACUAUAUAUUAUUGAGCAAUGGCACAAAGGCCUGACCAGGUGGAGAAGAAAUGAGGUUACCUUUCUAGGUCCCUGAUCUUGACAAACAUGGAAGAUGGAUCCUGCAAAUUGUUGAUGGAUACAGAGACAGAGAUCAAGAUGCUAGAAAGAACCUGGAUUUAGGAAUCCUGAUGCAAUAUUAGUCUCUAUCAGAGACGAAUUAAAAUCUCUGGAGUGAUUCAUUCAAGUUUGAAACAAUGGCUGUUUGAAGUAGAUAUUUGAGUACUGUUGGAUAAUUUUAAUAGCGAAUAACUCAAAUCC